rnacentral:misc_RNA from 1 species
GAGGUAGUCAGCUGUGCACAAGCAGAGUUCUAGGAAACUGAGAGAGAAAAGCAAGCCCACAUGGGGGUUCAUUGUUGAACACCCCUCCCUCACGCCUGCACACACACGCACACACACGCGCGCACAUCCCCUCAUUUGUAUUAAUUCACACACUUCUUCGUUGUGACGCUUGUGUGGGCGUCAGCGCGCCGUCUUCAGAGAGGGAGGUGGCCCGCGUAUACGCGCAGCGACAUAGCGAACGCAGCGGAGAGAGGCAUCCGAGCCUACUAGGGGGGGGGGGGCAGUCGCGCGCGCGGCGCAGGACGCUGAAGCGUCCUCUUUUUUCUUCUAUUGUUUCGACGCCACUCUGUUUUUCCUCGAUUCACCAUAUGCGUUUCACAGACCGCGUCUCCUUCGCCGUGAAGCACGUGGCUGUGCACGUGUUUUUUUACUGGCUUCCACGCCUUGUGUUCGGCGCGCUGUCGCGCUGGCCGCGGUGGCUAGUGAGCCGGCUCACGCGUGGGAAGCUCGUAGCCGAACCCCCGGACGAGCGGGAGGUCACCCUUAUCGCCAACGAGAAGGACCCUUACCGGCUGCGGAGGCGUUUUGGGCUGCCGCUGACGGGUCAGCCGCCGCUUCGUUACCACGCUCCGCUCUACAAUGGACACAUUCAUACCAUCCUAGCGGCCAUGCGCAGCGGCCCGCGUGUACCAUAUGAGCGGGAGCUGGUCGAGAGCUACGAGGGGCAGCACGUCAACAUGGACUACCUCUACCCGCCGCCGUCCUCCGACCCGACGUCGUCCACCCCGGCAACGGCGGCGACGUCUCCGUUCGCCGGUUCUACCGGUUCUGCUAAGGGCCGCGCGCCACAGGCCAAGGGUCUCAUAUUCAUUGUGCCGGGGCUGCUGAAUGCUUCGACGACGAACUACGUACGCCACUUUGCCGUCAAGUCCGUGGAGGCCGGCUUCGCUGUGUGCGUGCUCAAUAGCCGAGGCAUGGGAACAACGCCGCUGGAGGUGCCGCGCCUCUUCAGCGCCACUUUCACCGAGGACAUUCGGUAUUGCCUGCAUCACUACCUGCAGCAGAAGCAAGUCCAGGAGCGCCUCGGCACCCCGCGGCCGGUCCCCCUCAUCGCGGUCGGCUUCUCUCUCGGUGGCGUGACGCUCAUCAAGUAUCUCGGCGAGCAGGGCAUGGCAGCAGCAGAAAACGAACUGCGGUCGAACCUGCCGCUGAACAGCGCGGCGCCGGACACCCCUGUGUCUGCCCUCGUCACAGUGACGUGCCCGUACGACCUGAUCGAAGCGGACCGCAUGUCGGCGACGCUGCUGUACCGGUGCCUCUACGAGAAGUCGUUUGCCGUGGGCCUGCGAAAGUACGCGAAGCACAACCGCGAAAUGCUGGCGAAGCUGCCGAACGUGGACUCGAAGAUGCUUUUCGAGGGCCCCAGCCCGGUAAUCGACCGCCUCACCUCCAUCCGCGCCUUCGACAAAUACAUCAAUGCCAGCCACAACGGCUUCAACAGCCCGCAGGAGUACUACGCUGCGGCGCAGCCGCUCCUCUGGCUGCCGCGCUGCCGCACGCCGAUACUCUGCAUUGGAGAUCGCAAUGACGUCGUGGCUGGUGGCUUCGUGCCAGAUGCGUCGUGGCGCGCGCUCGUCAGCGAAAACCCGUACACCGUGUACGUGUGCUACCCCGUUGGCGGCCAUCUCGGCUUCCUCGGCACCCCGGCGGCGGAGUGGCGCGGUGAUGCGUCCGAGGCGGAGCACCUCGUGCUGCGCGCAGCCACGAAAUUUUGUGAGACGACGUAGUCACAGCCAAGCCACGGAAGUAGGAAAACGAACAAGAAGAAAAGCAGAGUUGCCACGAACAAGGUAUCGCUCUGUAUGGUGCUCCCGCAACAGUGGUCGAAGUGGCACCAAGGGCGCGCACCCUUGCGGAAUUUCCUUUUCCACCCUCUCUGCCUUCUUUACUGUGCAUGACCUCCCCAUACCCCAACAGCUCCGCUCUCGAUGGAUCGCGCCGUGCUGUGCUCUCAACGCGAAAAGGACGCCUCGCAACAGUGGUUGGGAGGCCGAGAAAGUGUAACAAGAGAGAAGCGAGGAUAUUUAGCUAUGCUUCGCAUGCGCGUGUUGUGUCUGUCUUGCUCAUCUGCAUGUGCCUGUGCACCGUGCGCGCUCCUCCUAGGAUACGUUUUUAUUCUUUGAAGUUUCUCCCCCUACCCCGACCAGCCGCUCGCGUCUUUCUCCUCCUCUACUGCCUUUUCUUUUCGCGGCGUUUGCAUGUGGAUGAGGCCACGCAUCUUUUUUUUUUUGCCGCGGAUGACUUGGCUGUAUGGGCGUUGCCUUGAUGCGACGGUUCAUGCUGUGGGUGUGGGGGUGAGGCGGUCCUGUGUAUUGCCGUCGUGAAUGCACGAGUUUUUGCGCCCGUAUUUGCAACUUGUCUCGGCGAGAAGUGUCUCUGUGUCUGUCUGUCUGUGUCUUGCUUCUCCCUCGCGCGGAUUUUU